rnacentral:lncRNA from 1 species
GGCCAGGUCAACUCCGCCAUCGGCCAGUGCCUCCCUUACGCCCGCGGCCAGGGCUCCAAACCCUCCGACGCCUGCUGCAGCGGCGUCAAGAGACUCAACUCCGCCGCCACGACCACCGCCGACAGGCGCGCCGCAUGCAACUGCCUCAAGAACGCCGCCAGGGGGAUCAGCGGCCUCAACGCCGGCAACGCCGCCAGCAUCCCAUCCAAGUGCGGCGUCAGCAUCCCCUACUCCAUCAGCAC